CAAGUAUUCAGCCCAAGUUUAUUACCACAGUGGACUCGGGUUAUAAUUACCAACAGAGGAGAGAAUAACUAUAAGUUAUUUUGAUGUAAAAAGCAUAUUAUCCUAAGCCAACAUAAUAACACAGUUUUUAUGAAGCACAAUAAUUACUUUGAAGACUCACAGAAGUGCAUUUUUCUAAAAGAAGGAGAAACAGAUUAACAGAAACAGAAACAGCAACACUAGAGAACAGCAAAAUAGUAACAUUUCAAAUAGUAACAUUUCAAGAAAAUAUAUACACCUUCACAGUAUGUGGUGGUAUCCACUUACUGUCUACUGCCUCCAUAACUCCUAAAGUCUUCUGAAGAUUUAUUAAUGCUUUGAAUAUAUGAGCCACCGUUUCUUUUCACAGCCUUUUCACAACUGGGAAUUCUUUAGAGAAAGGCAAUCUUACCUCAUUUACUUACUUCAUCAGUAAUGCCAUUACUAUGCCUACCUAAGAAGAAAAUAUAUCAUGUGGCAGAGGACUAGAAAGAAAAAACAACAACAAAAGGCUGUGAAGAUUUGAUCAUAUGCCUACGUGUGUGGUGAAUACAAUAUUUCUUUAAUCGCAAUCAGGAAUAUAAAUCUUAUUUUGAUGCUAUGACAUAAUAAAGUGCAUUAUUUUCCUGAAA
rnacentral:lncRNA from 1 species